rnacentral:rRNA from 1 species
CCAAUAGCGCAUAUUAAAGUUGUUGCAGUUAAAAAGCUCGUAGUUGAAUUUCGGGGUCAGUAGGUUGGUCGUGCCACCGGUACGUACUGGUCUCACUGAUUCCUCCUUCCUGAAGAACCGUAAUGCCAUUAAUUUGGUGUUGCGGGGAAACAGGACUGUUACUUUGAAAAAAUUAGAGUGUUUAAAGCAGGCUAACGCUUGAAUACAUUAGCAUGGAAUAAUGAAAUAGGACGAUCGAUCCUAUUUUGUUGGUUUCUAGGAUUGACGUAAUGAUUAAUAGGGAUAGUUGGGGGCAUUAGUAUUCAAUUGUCAGAGGUGAAAUUCUUGGAUUUAUUGAAGACUAACUACUGCGAAAGCAUUUGCCAAGGAUGUUUUCAUUAAUCAAGAACGAAAGUUAGGGGAUCGAAGACGAUCAGAUACCGUCGUAGUCUUAACCAUAAACUAUGCCGACUAGGGAUCGGAUGAUGUUAAUUUUAUAAUGACUCAUUCGGCGCCUUACG